rnacentral:rRNA from 1 species
AUAUUGGACAAUGGGUGCAACCCUGAUCCAGCCAUGCCGCGUGUGUGAAGAAUGUCUUCGGAUUGUAAAGCACUAUAAGUUGGGAGGAAGGGCUUUAGGUAAAUACGCUGAAGUGUUGACGUUACCAACAGAAUAAGCACCGGCCAACUCUGUGCCAGCAGCCGCGGUACUACAUAGGGUGCAAGCGUUACUCAGAAUUACUGGGCGUAAAGCGCGCGUAUGUAGUUCAGUAAGAUGGGUGUGAAAUCCCCGGGCUUAACCUGGGAACUGCUUUCAUAACUGCUGAACUAGAGUACGGUAGAGGGUAGUGGAAUUUCCUGUGUAGCGGUGAAAUGCGUAGAUAUAGGAAGGAACACCAGUGGCGAAGGCGACUACCUGGACUGAUACUGACACUGAGGUGCGAAAGCGUGGGGAGCAAACA